GUGAGUCAUCGAAUCUUUGAACGCAUCUUGCGCUCCUUGGUAUUCCGAGGAGCAUGCCUGUUUGAGUGUCAUUUGACUUAUCAACCGCUUCAUGGUGAACAUGGACGUGGCUUUGGAUGUGGGGGUCUUUGCAGGCUUUUUUGAAUCUGAAAGGUCGGCUCCCCUGAAACGCAUUAGUGGCAUCUGAGCUGCUACUAUAGGUGUGAUAAAUUAUCUAUGCCUUUGGUAUGCUGCAUGAACGGAUUGCGCUGCUUACAACGACGAAAAAGAACUUGACAAACUUGACCUCAAAUCAGGUAGGACUACCCGCUGAACUUAAGCAUAUCAAUAAGCGGAGG
rnacentral:rRNA from 1 species